GAGGUGCACGCGAUUCAAUUUGGCUUCUUUAUGCCUCCAGAGGUUCCGCAAUUGCGUCACACCAUCCACACGGCGCCUCUGACCACAUUUCGGAUCAAGCAUAAAUUGGCUCUAACAUUUUAAAUGCCAGUUGUCAGAUGAGCAGCGAGCACAGCGCGAACGGUAGCAGCUAGUCAGAGGACAUCGUAGCGCAGCGCACAGCUCUGAUCUGUACAAGGAGGAGGAUGCGGGUCUUCGCUGUCAUCUGGGCCAUUGGGUUCUUCUUGAAGGAAGCGCAAGCCUGGGGCUUCAGAAAUGGAAUAUUUCAUAACUCCAUAUGGCUGGAGCAAGCCGCCGGAGUCUACCACAGGGAAUCGCGUAAAGGGAGAUACCAGCUGACUUAUAAGGAAGCCAAGGCCGUGUGCAAAUACGAAGGAGGGACACUGGCCACUUACGAUCAACUGGAGGCUGCUCGUCAGAUAGGUUUACAUGUGUGUGCGGCUGGAUGGUAUGACAAAGGACGUGUGGGCUACCCUAUC